rnacentral:ncRNA from 1 species
CAACCUCAACUCAUAUGGGACUACCCCCUGAAUUUAAGCAUAUUAAUUAGGGGAGGAAAAGAAACUAACAAGGAUUUUCUUAGUAGCGGCGAGCGAAAAGAAAACAGUUCAGCACUAAGUCACUUUGUCUAUAUGGCAAAUGUGAGAUGCAGUGUAUGGAGCGUCAAUAUUCUAGUAUGAGAAAUUAAUGAUUUAAGUCCUUCUUAAAUGAGGCCAUUUACCCAUAGAGGGUGCCAGGCCCGUAUAACGUUAAUGAUUGCUAGAUGAUGUUUCCAAAGAGUCGUGUUGCUUGAUAGUGCAGCACUAAGUGGGUGGUAAACUCCAUCUAAAACUAAAUAUAACCAUGAGACCGAUAGUAAACAAGUACCGUGAGGGAAAGUUGAAAAGAACUCUGAAUAGAGAGUUAAACAGUACGUGAAACUGCUUAGAGGUUAAGCCCGAUGAACCUGAAUAUCCGUAUAUGGAAAAUUCAUCAUUAAAAUUGUAAUAUUUAAAUAAUAUUAUUAAGAAUAAUGUGCAUUUUUUCCAUAUAAGGACAUU